rnacentral:rRNA from 1 species
AGGAUGAACGCUAGCGGCAGGCUUAAUACAUGCAAGUCGUGGGGCAGCAUGGUGUAGCAAUACACUGAUGGCGACCGGCAAACGGGUGCGGAACACGUACGCAACCUUCCUUUAACUGGAGAAUAGCCCGGGGAAACCCGGAUUAAUACUCCGUAACAUUAUGAAGUGGCAUCACUUUAUAAUUAUAGCUCCGGCGGUUGAAGAUGGGCGUGCGUCUGAUUAGGUAGUUGGCGGGUAACGGCCCACCAAGCCUACGAUCAGUAACUGGUGUGAGAGCACGACCAGUCACACGGGCACUGAGACACGGGCCCGACUCCUACGGGAGGCAGCAGUAAGGAAUAUUGGUCAAUGGACGCAAGUCUGAACCAGCCAUGCCGCGUGGAGGAUGAAGGUCCUCUGGAUUGUAAACUUCUUUUAUUUGGGAAGAACCCCGAUUUCUAUUGGGGUUGACGGUACCAGAUGAAUAAGCACCGGCUAACUCCGUGCCAGCAGCCGCGGUAA